ensembl:lncRNA
GUUUUUGCCGAUGAUUAUUUAAAUGCAGCUAUUAUAUGUAUUUACAACUAUUCUAUUUCACAAAACAUGUAAGUGCUAUACUUGUCAAUUAAAAACUGAUCUUGCAUAAAAUGUUAUAAUUUUAUUAACGAAAGUGUUUUAUGUGUGUACAUAUGAGUUGGUUAAUACAUACGUUCAUACAUAUUAAUAUAAUGCAUUAUAAAAAGUAAAUCAAUUUUUAUGCAAAACUUUUAAUUAUAAUUUAUAUCUUUUUUAGUGAUAUGAGAAAUGGAUACCUUAAUAAUGCUUUGGUAAAUCUUACGUUUAUUAUUAAAAAUUUAAAAUGCAGUUCGGAUUCUGAAUUAAAAAAUUGUUCUAAAACAGAUAUUAAAGAACUUACUCAUGAUAAUUUUAUAUACCGUACUAAUAGGUAUAAUAAUAAAAAACAUAGUAGAAAAAAUAAUAACAUAUUAUAUGAUCUAAGUAAUUUUAACAGCCUUUUCGGACAUAUACAAAGAAGGGGAAAACAUAUUCUUUCAGUUGACGUGAUUUACAGGUGUAUUGAUCUGAUAACACUGCAACAAAAUUUGGUACGCGUUGAGAUAAACUAUAACUUGAACAUACUGAAUUGUAAAAAGGUUGAUAUUUUAUUUUGUAUUAAUAUAUUAAUAUAUAAUAAAGUAUACAAUUUAGCUGAUAAUGUUAUUAACAUGUUCAGGUGGCAAUAUGUUUUUACAUAUUGUUUGGCUUGUUUUUUUUGUUUAUUAAUACAUAAAAGUUUAAGCUUUUUAUAUGACGUCAUACAAUACAUAAAAAUAAAAUUAAGUGAUUACGAUAUUAAUAUUUUUGUUUUACAUAUAAUUUAUUUAUAUUUAAAAUAUAAAAAUAAAUUAAAAUAUAUGUAUGAAAAUAUUGAUUAUGUAUAUAAAAUUAAAGAAAAGGAUAAAGCAAGGGAUAUAGACAAGGAUAUAAAAAAAGAAGAAACAAAUAUGCUGUUGAAUACAAAAGUAGUGAAUAUGAUUAAAAACGAAAAUACCUUAACACAGACAAAUACGAGUCAAAUAAAUGCGAGUCAAAUAAAUGCGAGUCAAAUAAAUGCGAAUAAAUGUAACAAACUGUUAGAACAAUCUAGCGAACUUAAUAAAAAAGAAAAUUCAAAUAAAAUAACAGACAUUAAUACAUAUUCAUAUGAUGAACAUGUAAAUAAUAUAUUAGCAUAUAUUAAAGACAAUGAUUUUUUAUUUUAUUGUUAUACAUUAAUAUAUAUUCAUGAUAAAAAAGAGUAUAAAAAAUUAUUCAAAAAUAUUAAAAAAUUACUAUUUAAGAAUUUAAAAAAAACUGAUAUUUAUAAAACAAUGUUAUGUGUACAUAAAUAUACAAAAAAAAAUAAAAAAAUUAAUUAUAAUUUUAUUUACGAUCAUUUAUUUUAUUUUAAAAAAUAUCAAAUCAAAAAGUUAUUAAGUAUAGUAGAAUGUACUCCAAUCGAUCAAGAUUUUAAUUUUUCAAAAAUGUUAUCUUUGGCAACUAUUAAUCCUGAUGACAUUAAAAAAAAAAUUAUAUCCCAAAUAAUGAAUAUUUAUAAUAUAUCUAUUACGAAAGUUGAUAAGGAGAAAAUAUGUUUGUAAAAACAUAAGAGGACCUUAUGACAUGACACAAAAAAAAAA